GUUGUGGAUCAGUGGUAAAGCGCAUGCCUAGUGCACAUGAGGCACUGAGUUCAAUCCUCAGCACGACA
rnacentral:tRNA from 1 species